ensembl:lncRNA
CUUAAAUCCAGAGAAUGCCAGACUUUGAUGACACGAUUUGAUGACAACGUUUGUCCACAAGAAGGACCGCCACGCCACGUUCAAGUGAGUACAGCACAACAACGCAGAAGUAACUCUGGGUCAUCCUUUCCUUUGGCGGUCCUCAUGAGAGCCAGUUUCAUCAUAGCACUUGAUGAUUUUUGUGACUGCACUUGAAGAAACUUUCAAAGUUCUUAAAAUGUUCCAGAUUGACUGACCUUCAUGUCUUAAGGUUAUGGAGCUGGUUGAGAGAAUACCAAGAGUGUGCAAAGCUGUCAAGGCAAAGAGUGGCUACUAUGAAGAAACACUUUUUUUGUUUACUACAUGAUUCCAUAUGUGUUAUUUCAUAGUUUUAAUGUAUUCACUAUUAUUCCACAAUGUAGAAAAUCAUAAAAAUAAAGAAAAACCGUUGAAUGAGUAGGUGUAUCCAAACCUUUGACUGGUACUGUACAUAAG